rnacentral:rRNA from 1 species
GAUGAACGCUAGCUACAGGCUUAACACAUGCAAGUCGUGGGGCAUCAUGAUGUAGUAAUACAUUGAUGGCGACCGGCGCACGGGUGAGUAACGCGUAUCCAACCUACCCUCCACUCAAGUAUAGGCUUCCGAAAGGGAGAUUAAUCCUUGAUAUCGUCAUUCUCUCUCCUGUUAGAAUGAUAAAAGGACAUCGUUUCGGUAGAGGAUGGGGAUGCGUUCCAUUAGGUAGUAGGUGGUUUAACAGGCCACCUAGCCGAUGAUGGAUAGGGGUUCUGAGAGGAAUAUCCCCCACACUGGUACUGAGAUACGGACCAGACUCCUACGGGAGGCAGCAGUGAGGAAUAUUGGUCAAUGGGCGCAAGCCUGAACCAGCCAUGUAGCGUGAAGGAUGACGGUUUUUUUGAUUGUAAACUUCUUUUCUGUGCGAUUAAAGUGUGGCAUUUAUGCCAUAUUGCAG